GAUAUUAUCACAAGAUGCUGCCUGGUUC
rnacentral:sRNA from 1 species